UCUCCAGCGUUCUCCACAAACACACAGACUCCAAGCAGUCGGCCACAGAAGAAGGCAGGGGAGUAGGUGGCGCCUCUCUAACUUUGGUAUUCGUUCCAAGAAACACGGUGAGCGGUUUCUAUCGCACAGGGGGAACAUUCUUCGCUAAAGCACGCACAACACACGCACACAACCGUACUACACUACACCCCUAUUACGGAUGUUUACGCCGAAGAAUGCACCCAGCGGCCCAACCCGGUCGUCGUGCAUGAGAAGAAGUUUACUGCCGUCCUUCUUUCCUGUUCGUUUCCAAUAAGAAUGUUCGAUUGCAGUUUGAAUGCAUUCGAUUCGAAACAAUGGAGCCUUUCUUUCUGACUCGACUUCUGUCUAACAGGAUGUGGAAGAUUGUUUGUGCAAAUAAUGUGCAAUACUUGGCAUUUGUGGAUAGAGAAUGAAUGGCAAAGAUUGCAAGGUAUAAGGUAAAGCUAAAUGACAAAUAAAUGCAUUGCAUAUUUACAUUAUUGAUAAUUUAAAAGCAGCAAUUGAACAAACUGAAGUCACAUGUGAUGUUAUCAAGUUCUUUUUCAAGUUGUUGUUAUCCAGUGAUACUCUCAAUAUCACAAAUUCAUCACAAUAUAUCGCAAACUUAGUUUACCAUGUCGCAGCUUUAGACGAUUAUUCAGAACAACUUAACGAACGAACAAAAUUGGCAUUUGCCUUAUCGAUUUUUCCUACCUUUUAUAUGGUUUUUAGAAUGAUGAAAAAAAAUACAUAAAAUUGCAAUACACUACUAUGGUGUAACAUUUACCACCAAUAACAUCAGAGUGAAGAGCAAAAACCCACAAAAAAACCAUCGAACUACACAACAUACAUAAAAUCGAAAUGGAUUUUUUUAUGAUUCUUUUCUCGUGCAAACCAAGCAAGCAAUUUUGAUCUGCUUGGGGGCGCUCUCUCCGGGGUUAUUCUUAUGGGUGGUGGGUGGUUGGCCCCGCCGGAACGGCGCUGAACCAUUCAAUGGUUAACGAAAAAAAUAAACAAAAUACGAUCUUGCUUCCCGCUCGCACAAUGCAAUAAGAACGCUCGCGAAGGGAAAAGAGACGGCGCACGCACUAAACAACAAUUUACAGCUGAAGACGACCACACACACCACACAAAUGGAACGAAGGAAGGAAAAAGAUGGAGAGAAUGGAAUUCUUUUGAAACUAAGCCCCCCACAUAAAUCCGAAACCAAAAGAGAGAGAGAGAGAGAGAGAGAGAGAGAGAUAACGAAAGAGAAGCAAAUAAACCAAAGAAAAAAGCAUAAAAGUGCUAACAAAAACCCCAAGAAACAGUAAGAGAGACAUAACAAAAAAUGCACACAACACAACCAGCGGAGCAGGAGAAGGAAGGCACUGAAAAACAAGAAGCGGAAAAGCGAAAAGAACCAGGGCAACAUGAGAAAUACCAAAUUUGUACGAGAGCAUAACACAACAAAAAUGCUUGUGUGCCGACGAAGAAGAUCCCACACCGACAAGCGUUUUUCCUUCUCUUCGUUGCCUUUUUUUGUUAUGCUCGUUGUUUCAUUCUUCUUUUCAUGCUUAUGCUUUCAUUCUACUUUUCAUCCCUUUGCUGCUUUGCGCUCUCUUUCAUUCAUUGCUUGCUUGGGUUCGCUUCACUCUUUCGCCGUUCACGUUACACGUUCUCAUGCUUUAAUCUUCUUGCAUUUUGUUUUUCGUUUUCAUGUUGUUUCAUUCUUCAUUUACACACACACACUCUCUCUCUCUCACACACACAAUUUCCCAUUCGAUCGUAUGUGUGUACCAUUUUACGAUCCCGUUGAAUAGUAGUAAUGUGGCCGCUCGCUCGCUCUCUUUCACAUUCUUUCGUUACACCUCUGUGUCUAGAUUUCAUAAACUGCAACAACUCAACGUUUCCACGAUUUUUUCGCUGUGAAAGUUCCCUUCCACGUUGGCCGAUUGCCAGAGGGCGCAAGCAAGCAUGCAAGCAUGGAUAGGCAAUGGCGUUUUUCCCAAGGGAACCCUCCGGUGGGAAGUGUCCAACGACCACCGGUUUUGCUGGGUUGCGGCGCGCACGGGACAGAGAAUGUUGAAUGCCAUCCUACUUCUUCCACGUCAUUAAGGCGUGUAUGGUGCAGUCGCCCCGAGGAAACAAAAUCCGCAACGAAUUAUCCGAAUCUCUUCCCGAAAAAAUGCGUCCGAUCGCGAGCGAUUGUCUGUCCUUCUCUUUGGCAGGGGGUUUUAAAGGCUAUAUCCGCUUUCCGCGAUUCUCACCCUCCUUGCUUUCUUUAUGGUCCCUUCAUUUUUGGUGAUGCUGCUCUGCUUUGUUCUUCUGCACGGCGCAUUUAUUACUUACUUUAUGGCUGAGCAAAAAGGGAUUACUGAGGCCAACAAAAAAAAGCUUCCUGGGAAUUUGGGUUUCUCAGCGAUCCCCUCAUUACUAAAAACGAAAUAUACGUAAACAAAUCUCAGAGAAGAGGGUCGAUUGCAAUGCGCAAAAACAAAACAAUAACACGGAAACGGAACGCGAACGAAAAACAUCAAUAAACUGAGUCAACAUGCGCGCUUCCAUCUUCAAAGAGCCGUCUUAUCAAUAGCAAAACAAAACAACCUCGCAGUAAUAGAUGGGUGGUUGUUUUUGUUGACAUGCUGUACACCUUCAGUUAUCGUUGGAGGAGCGGAAAUACCCCAAAAUUCUGCGCAUUCUUCUAAUCUUCCCUUUCCGGCUCAACUCAAAAUUCCUGCCACCAUAAACAGGCUAUUCUACCCGGACGGCCGUAAAGAUCGUUGUGGGAAUCUUGAUUCGUCACUCUUUUCUACCGGAAGUAAGUAUUCAUCCUGUUUUCUUUUAACGUGCGUUAUAAGAAUUGUGCAAGGGUUUGCCCCCUUUGAAUCGAGACUUGCUUCUAUUUCUCUUACGCGUCAUAUGCUUGUUUCGAUGAUUAGAGGCACGAGUAAAACGUUAGGCCAUUAUUCAAAUUUGGAACCAUAACCAUUUAAGCGAGAUGAAUAAUUGAAGCAAUAAUUGAGCAUCAUUUGUCUUGAAUGGGAAUUAGAGUUCAUAUUAUCCUUCAUGCACCGGUUCCCGUUAUCUCCGUGGCGCAUUACUCUGCCUCUUUCGUUCUCUCUUUUUGGAAAAAGGAUAUCCCUUCAGUCCACAUGUAAGACCCUUUGCCAAGGUUUUUUGUUUCUCUCAGGAGUGGCGUCGCCGAUGGUGGUUUAUGGACCAUUUGAACAUAUCUCAGAUUACAACAUCCAACUAUUCCCACCAUCACCACACCACGAGAGGUCUUUGGGCCCACAGGAUCGAUGGGAACAAUUUUUGUCAAUCACAUCUCUCACACGGGAAGAACAGUCUCUUCUCGUCGGUGCGGGCGUGUGAAGCAGAGGCGACGUGCGAUCAUAAAAAAAACGCACUCACAAAACCGUUCUUCAAGGUCUACACGACUCCAUUUUCUAUUAGCGUCGGUUUCUGGUUGCAUCCUCUCGCUGGGUGGCGCGCGCACCAGGCAGACAAAGAAAUCCAUUGCAGUUUGUGGUUAAAAGCUGAACGCCAUCAACAAUAAUCAAUGAAAUUUUCCGUAACCAAAACACACAAACAAAGAGGGGUACUGAGAAUUAUACAGAAAUAGAGUCGGGCUUGAAAGAGGCCCUAACUCAGUUUUCCUUUUUUUAUGAAUGAAUCACACAUACAUCACCGCGCAUUCUCUCUAUUUAAAUCCAUUCAAAUGCAGAGUGCACGACGAAAGAUCGAAAAAGUUAAUAUGGGACAUUGCAGAGGAAGGAAAAAUCCCCGACGAUCGCCUUCCACAAAAUGGUUCCAUCGCACAAUGGUGAAUUAUCAUUUCAUAAAUAAACAAAUCGACCAUAUACAACACACAACCACGGAACCCUUUUUUCUUGAACAAUCUAUCUGCUCCUGCUUGUGCUCAACGCACUUUUCGAUCGAGCCGGAGAGAAAUGGUUUAAUCCGAAUUUAUUAGAAGCCAGAUAAGGUUUCAAAAAACCCUUCUAACACAGCCGAGCGACGGAGAUCAUGAAUGAAAAACAAUGCACACACAACAACAAUCGGCUGUGUUUGUGUAUGACGAUCCUGGCUCGGGGGUAGCAGCAAAAGCGGCAUGAAUGAAAUUUAAAUGUUGUGCUCAACCGUUUCUCAAGCGACGAAAAGGACGGCAAGACACAUCAUCAUGCACACAACGAACCCAUCCAUAACAUUCCAUAACCCGAGCCCGGCAAAGGACAUCCACUUGAAAUCUCGGCGUGGGAAUCGGCAUAUGUGUUUAUGUGCUGCGUGAAAAAGCCAUUUCCCGCAGGGCCUGCAGCCAUAUGGUUUCCAUCAUUCGUGAAAAUCGUGAGAAGAUGUGCGUUGUGCAGAGCGUUGGUGCCAGGCAUCAUUGGGGACCGUUUUCUUUAAAUACGAUCGAUGAAUGAUCGGUACUUGAAAUGUUCCUUUUUUAAGCCAUCCAUUACCCAACUUCUUGAACCUUGUGUCUGUGCUCCAAGACUCGCUUUAAACGACGAUCAUUACACAGUUCUAGGGAGGAAGACAAUGUUGAUGCGUCUGUACAGUUCCCGGAAAAAUGUAGCCAAACAACCAACGCUGCAGGCCGCUAAUAUGCUCUGCACUUGUCAACACCGGAAACGGACCAGAACCAUUCAUAAAUUGUCCGAUCUUCACCGCUCUGAGCGUUGCUAACAACAGGCCGAGGACCAUAAUUUGAGUGGGAGAGUUUUCGGCAUUUACACUUGUGCCGAGAUGAUCGUUAUUUUUGAUUAGUGUGACGAUACGACACAAACCAAAACACCAACACCAUCCUAAGAUACAAUAAAAUCCCUCUUCGCUCUAAUGUAAGUGGAGAAUCAUGCUUGCAAUCGUAAGAAAAAGGAAUUUCUUACGAAAUAAUGUAAUGGGUUUCUUUUGCCGAACGGGCCUGGGACUACGGAGACGAAAUCCUUCCUAGAAGGACGGCACAAUCCAGUCUGAGAAUGGGAAACGAUAAUCGGUUGGGACCUGCGCUAACGGUAUAUAUCUCUGAUCCUGGAGGGCAAAAGGCGCACCAUCCAAGAUCUAUUGUUGGCUGCCGUCUAUCGGUCAGCUAACGUUUGCCAAGGUCACAAAUGAUGACUAAAAAUAAAGCUAAUAUAGAUUAGAGCGUGUUUUGUAUUGUGCAAGUGCCGCAAUCAUUAUCGAAUUUUGAUCGAUUCUUCUUAUUCUUAGAUAGCGCAACCAAUUAGUGGGUAAGGUAAGAAUGUUAAUAACACUGGACGUAGUUUCCUGCACAUUAUCUGAACAUACGAAAUCGAUUGGUCUGUGUCGAAAUUUGUCAAACAAGGUUUUGCGAUUCAUCCACAGACUGCAGGACACUUUCCCGAUUUGUUGUGAGUCAGUCAAUGUCAUGAUUGCGACACGAUGGAUGACUACGUUGACAAUAUCCGGUGCAGUGGAACUCAAAUCUCUGACUGUAGCACAUUUCUCGAAAUGUCAAAUCUUACGUUUUGAGCGCGAGGAAGUGAACCAACAGUCAUGGAUUUCAGUUCAUCCAAUGCCAAAUAACGUCAUCGUUUCCAAGCAACAGCGGCGUAGUCAUCGGAUUGACUCAAAUUGGAAAAGUGUCACAGGGUCUUGAAUUGAAUAGCAUAAUCCUUGUAUGUUGUUCUUGCACUAUAAGAACCCGGUCAAAGGAACUAAAAGUUAAACAGUAUCACAUAUAUUAGACACUAGCCCAUUCCAAGUCAUCGCAAGCCUUUGAACGAAUGCCCCAAGUACCAAUAAAAGGUGGAUUCUAUAAUUUAGAUACCGUCAAUCAGAAGAAAAAGAACGUUCCAAUCAUACUCCUUUAGUGUCUCCCUGCAUUCUACCGUUCCCAGAGCGAUCCCUAAUGCUUCGUUCGGCUCCUCCAUUCUCCACCACCAUAUCCCCGUACCAGUGACGCCAUCAUUACCACCCACCGGAAUGGUUUCCACAGACGAGAGGCGUUACACACGCACGCGGCAUGGCUACGAGAAGUAGAAAACCGAUCGAUAAUGUCUAAAUUUCACACUUCACACGCUCGCCACCGUACCUCAACUCCCUGCCUGAGAAACAUCACCAAAAGCAGGAGAAGAAGAAAAAACACAUAAAAAUACGUUCCUGUCUUCCUCGUUCUCGUUCUCUUCGCACGUCAAAUCGUUUGGCUUCUCGAAGGGGAAACAACACGGGGGAAUCAUAAAAUCUUCCCUGCCUGCCACAAUCACUGUGUAAAGCCGACCUCCUCAGACCCCGUCCCCUCAUCCCCGAAGCGUGAACCCAGCGAGAAGGUGACGAAGAGGUGACGGAAGAGCUGGGAGCAGCCCGCGGCAGUAAAAAGCGGCGCCUGGGCAGGGAAAUUCUCUCACAUACCGACCUCAACGGACGUGUGCAUAACGAAAGGCAGACCCCCGGCCACUCACUCCUCAAUAGCCGAGUGCGAGAAAGAGAGAGUGAGCAUGUCAAGAUCGUGGAGGAGCGAUAUCUUCAAGAAGAUGCAACGUAAAAACCCGCAGACACCAGACACGGGGGGAGUGCAAUCUCAGCACGGAAAGGCAGAGCCGAUUAUGACUUCAAAGCGUUAUUCUUCUUCCUCCUUCGAACGCGAGCUGCUUCCGCCAACGCGUUGUGAAGAAGAAGAAACAAAAAAGCAAGCGAAACAGAGAACAGGAGUCGUAAAAACAGCCACAAAACUUUCCAUGGCUCCUCGCACGUUUCCUUCUUAUCGAUCUCCUCGUGGUCACCGAUGAUGUCGCUCAAAGUUAAAGGCCCCAGCGUACGCGCGCGCAGACAUCUCGAAGCUCACGGUAACCCACGCACACACACACGUCAUCUUUGGUGACUGAAGAGGGUGGUUAAUCAUAAAAAUUUAUGCAUUCCCAUAAACCUUCCAAAGAGUCCGGAUUUGAUGAACGAGUCCGCCGCGCGUGGUUUAUUUUCUUGUUCUCUUUCGUUCGUUGUUGUGGGUGGGCUUUUAUAGACAUCCCCCUAAGAGCAAAACGAUGCAAUGUUUGUGUCCCUUUCACUUUGAUUUGUUCCAGAAGACUGAGAGCGUAGCGGAUUGUAGUUGUGGAGGGAAUGUGAUCAUAAACAGCUAAAAGUAUAAAAAUAUGAUUCUUGAGAAAAUUCAACAUUGCAUACUUUUAGGAGCUUACCACUGUGUUUUACAGCAGCACACAUCAGAAAACUUCAAUGUUUUAUGGAGUCAUUGUGUUUUCUUUGAGCCUUAAAAGGAUACUUUUCGAAGAUGGUGGCAUCCUUUAUCCAAUUAUUGUCACAUAAUGAGGAUAUCUUCUGAUUUGAAGAAUUUGUCAUGCAUUGGAACUUUUCAUGUAAAGUAUUACCGAAGACAAAUGUUCUGGUUAAGAACCAGAAGUGCGAGUUUUUGGAAACUGUUAGCAUACAAUUCCCUGAAGUCCCUGGAUCGCGGCCACUUUUACACGCAGGAAAUCGAUUCUUGCUGCAUCAUCUCCAUUUAAUUGCACACACAUACCUACAUAUAUGCUUUCCCGACCGAAUCUGCAUCCUCACCUUCCACCCAAGUUACGUUCCCACUGGGUCGACUCUGUGUGUGUGCCCUGUGCUACGUGACCAUUCGCGCACAGGCCUCUUUCACUGAGCUUUCUACUGCGACCGGACGGACGGGCUACCGAAAGAAUUCAGGAUGCUCCGGCAAGCAAGCGAGCAGGCGCGAGAAGAUCGAGAAAGCCAGAUCGCUAAAGCGAAGCGAAGGGGAAAAAAGUAAACAAAAUAUCUUAAAAUAUUCCAACGUCUUGAUACGUGUGUUCCGUGUGUUCCGAGAGAAGCCAACGGCAGGCAAGCGAGAGCAGCAGCGAGCGAGAAGACAACGCCAAUCCACCCAGAACGCCAGACAGAAUUCCAGGAAGGACAGAUUUAGCUCUGGCCGCGGUGGCGGCAGUGGCGGCAUCCGCUUUGGAGAGGCCACUUUAUCACCGUCAGCAGCUUGCGUCGUCCCGUACCUCCAGUCGCCGGGUCCUUGCUGUUGUGGGCCUUCGUCUUCCUGUCUGGCCCGAUGAUGCCUUGCUGCUGCGUUCUGUGUCUCGGUGUCCUUACAGGGAAAAAAGGGGCUCCCAAAACCCAACAGCAGGCUUGUGCAAAGGGUAAUGUUUGAGACGGCCAAGAACUGCCUGCCUAUGUUCACACCGGUUCUCUUUUGCCCUUGUCCUUCUGCAAUUGUCGGGCCGUGCUGUUUUGCUCUCUCACUCGCUUUCCUCUUCCAACUACCCACGAACGACGAAUGAUCGCUAACGAGAAAUACGGCGAGAAAACUGAACGAGGAUCAAACAUCGCGCGGCAGGUACAACACAACAAGAUGAUGAUGAUGAUGAUGCUGCACACACCACACGUUCAGUUCAGCAGCAGCAGCAGCCUUUUCUCAUUCUCUGUUUUCGUCCAUUUGCCUCCCAAAAGAUCUCCGCAUCACAGUGCAGUGUGUUCCGGCUGACGGCGGUUGGACGGUGUGAGCCGUCGAGCUCUCCUGUGUCCGUCCCACAAGGGCCCCUCCUUACCUUUCGCGUGGUGCGUUUUGUAUUCCCACCGAAUCAACACAUUCAGCCGACGCACAACAACAAGACUGUAAAUAUGCCCAAGCAUAUCUUAGCUGAGCGGAGCGACCAGACCAGAGAGAUGCAGCCAGCAGAAGGUGAUGGCCGGAGGUGGUGGCGAUGGUUUACACAGUGCAUUCCAGAAAACCAGUUACCUGUGGUCCCCGGUGUGCUUUCGCCCUGGGCCAGAAGCGUUGGGCAUGACCGGUCGAUGGUUUUGCUUCUGGGAGUUCCCGAAACCCGGUGCGCGUCCUCGCCUCUCUUCCCGGGAGUGCCGGUUUAAGCACUCGAGCGCACUGAAACGUGCCCGAGCAUAGUCUGACUUUGAACAGAUAUGCGGUUACGGGAAAAGCUUUAGCGGUGGAUGGGAAAUUCCAUUACAAAUCAGGUCGCUUGACAAUGAAUUAUCAUUUUCCACAAUACCAAGUUACCACUACGAGUAGACUACUUUAGUAGCAAGAAUUUUACUCCUAACAAUACAAGCAGCACAACAGAAGAACUCAAAUAACUUGAAAACUUCGAAAGAUCUUCAAUGAGCUUACGACAUUCACAAGACUCCACAACAUCUUUCACCCAAAAUACCCCUAUAUACCUGAGCCACGAUCGGUUCACGAUCGAUCAGAGGACAUUAAUCUUCAUCUCCUGGCGUGAGAUAGAGGCGCACAUCAAACGGCCAACCGGCCGCCGGCACCUUCGCCCGGCAUCGCAGGAAAAAGCCCAUUGUUGGGCAGGAAGCGGAGGGCGAUAAAGAAUAAGCCACCAUCGUCCAAUGCCACGAAGCGCACAACAAAACCCCACCAGGAUCGGUAAAAGGAGCGAAAGAAGAAAAGCCAACAACGCGCAGCAUCCUCUUGACGCAACGGAGAACACCGGUCAAAAUAUCGAUCAACCGAUCAGGCAGUAUUCGAUCGAAAACGAUCAUAAAAACUUGAACCCUUAACUGGGGGCGGCGAUUAAGGCACACCACCCUUGCAUCCUCUCCUUCCAAUCCGUCCCAUUCCAGCUGUUGCAGGAGGGCGUGCUGUGAUCGGUAAUGGAUCAUCGGAUCUCGAUCGGUGGGGGGAGAGAACGUUUCUAUAGCACAAUAUUGGGAACCAUUCUGCUCUCUCUCUUACCUUCGCUUCGUGGAUCGAAAACCGUCCGUUUUUCUUUUAUGUUUCGUUCCUCCGCAAAGGCUACAAGACGAGGCUUUAAGGGUGCUGCCCGUUUUCCUUGAGAGUUUCCCAGUGAUCGAUAAACGGCCCUUGGCCAGUUCCGAGAAUUCUUCGCUCGCCCUGACCACCCGAACCGACAAAUUCUUCAGCGGCUUUUCACUACUGCUGCCAGAGGUUGCCGCUGACGAAUGACUCUGCGCUGAUCAUCGAUCGAUCGAUCGUAAAAUAAGCGAUCGAGGAGAGUGAGGAGUAAUUAACCGGUGGGUUCUCCCUUCGCUCGAGACGUUUAUCAGCUGAUGGGUCCGUUUGGUGGGAGUAGCAUUUUGGAAAGUUUCUUCUUUUAUGGUGUGGCUCAAGAAUGUUUUUUGGUUUGGGAAAAUGCCUUCAAGAAAGAAACAUUCUUGCUGAUAAGAAUGUGUUUAACGAUUCAAGGAAGAAGAAUUCGAUGUACCUUGUUCUUUAAAUGCUUUCGAGAGACAUGGCGAUAAACAUGCUUCGGUUUGCAAUUAAUGGCUCUAUUAAACGUAUUGGUUGGGUCAACUUUCUACAGGUUUUUUGAGUUCCCAAACCAUGUUUCAGCAGAACAGGUAUGUGUAUAACUGUCACUUAUAAGCCACAAGUUCUUGUCCUUACACACACACACAAAAUCGAGGUCUCCUAACGGACCCAUCAUCACAUUCAGUCAAUUCGGAAUUGCCAACAACUACUCGGGGACGGCGUCUUUUGCGUCGAUAAAAGCAAAUGUAAAGGCACCCGAUGCUCGCGAUCGAGGUGACAUUUCAUGCCAUGUGUAUUAGUGUGUGUUUGUGGUACAGUUUUCUUUUUUGCAAUUCAAUUUCUGUGCGCAUUCACUUCCUCGACACACACACCCCGUUGACCACCACCGCCGAGACACGCUGCACUUUUCAUUUUUCAUCCAUUCUUCCACCGAACGGGAGAAAGAGGCUCGGUGAAGGGAUUCGAUCGCGAUUCGUACGCAGCAGACGACGCGCGCACAGCGCCGCAUUCUCUUGCGUUCGGUGCACAUGCACUUGGCGAAGUCGUUUCCAGUUAGGUCACACUGCUGCUGCCGCUGCCCUUUCUCUUCCUUUGGCACCCACCUUCCUUUCACACGAUCGUUCCCUUCAACCAAGCACACGAUCGUUCAGCGAAACGGGGUUUUUCGCUGCAAGUACAGUGUUGUGUUGGUUUUUUUAAUGGUACUAGACGUUUUUUCCAUCCCCAUUAUUCCCAGCAAUCUAUUUGAAAGCAGCAAGCGAUCAAAUCAAUUGAUAAAUUGCAAUCCGCAGCACAAUUGCAUGAAUAAAUAAAUAUUAACGAUCAAAAUACGCCGAUCCGGUAUUUCUAGCGGAAGAGAAAGGAAAACGUACUUAAACACAAACACACUUAACCCUUCCUUUAUUGGCUUAAGGGGGUUAUAUGGGGGAAGAAAAGAUGAGCCAACAUCGCUCAUUGGGCUUGCCGUUUUGUUUACGGGAUUUUGCAUCCCAAGCAGCAAUUCACACACCCCAAUGCCACACGAGUGAGGCAACGAUCAUCAUCAUCACCUUCGAAAACCGUACCCAACCCCCACAGAAGCACCCACAAUAAGCAAAAACAAAUUGUUUACUGGUGAAAAACGAUGAGAUCACCAACCAGCUCAACUCUCUCAUUUGCUGGCCAUGUGAGUUCGGGUUUUGAAACGUGAUGAUGUAUUUAGCUGAUGGCGCAGCAGGAACGUGCGUUUUGCGCUCGAAUAAUUUACUGCCUUUUCAGCGGCCAAGGCGCACAAAGUGAAACAAAGUGUGUGUUAAAAAAACAGCUCGUUUUCGUUUUGGUGAGUUGGCGCCUGCAUGUAUGCAAUUAAUGCGUAAAACUAAAUUUAAAAAAUCGCUCUCCAAAGCGGCACAUGAAAAGCGAACUAGACACUUCGAUAGAGCGAACAAAACACAUUCAUUGUGUAGGCCCAACAACGAGGAGGGGGAUGAUGGGGGAGGAUCACGCAUUCUUCUCGACCUCAAUCAUUAAACAAUUCCGCCGUGCACACUCUCUGUUAGUAAACAGCGGCGAACCUAACAAACACACUACCACAGUUACAGAUACGGUCGAUUGUCGUCGUCGCGGGGGUAAACAGAACCAUCAUCACGUCAUAUUUUGAUUGCCUGGCGCAAUUAUCACAUUCCUUCGUGUUGCUGGUGCUCCAAGCCAUACUCACACACACACACACACAAGAAACUCCAACCACCCGCCGGGGGGAGGGCAAAAGGGCCUUUUCCAAAUGGUGCCCCGCGUGGCGUUUGAGGGAAGGAAAAAUUAAAAGAGAAGUGUAAAAACACAACCGAUGGAAUGUUCCGUCGAGCGAUUGGUUGCAUGUUGCUGUUCGGUUCAAUAUUGUGCGAACCAACAAAAAAAUCAUCGUUUGUGAGAGACUAUAUGGGCCCCACACAACCACUACCAUACGUCAGCAAAACGGCAUGGGGGGCUCCGGUCGGUCGUCGUUUGUAACCAUUCACACAUUGGGGCCCCAGAUCUCACGAACACCGACAAUCAAUGAAAUGCGCCGUGUUGCGUGCGGAUCGUCCCGUGCCCAACCUUUCGGCAACAACCCUGUGUCUCCCGCUGCUUUGCCAUCCGUUUCCUCCACCUUAUUCGCGUUCAUUAUGGGGUACAACAACUGGGCAGAGCUCACACGUUCGUGCGCUACACAUACACACGCAAUGGGGAAUUGGUAGAGAGCGCAGGCCAGAUGACCUGGACAAACUCUCCACCACCGUCCCACGGACUGUUGCCCACUGCUGUUAACCUCUAUUGCGUUUUGCAAAUGACUUUCGACGGUCCAGAAGGUGCAAUUUGUUGAGUUAAAGAUAGCUAAAAUGCAAUUAACAAAAGUAAAUAAUUAAAUAAAUGUAGAACAGAUGUAAUUUUGCACAAAAUGGACCUAAAAAUGAUAAAGAAAUAUAAAUUCCGCAGAAACCAAUCACUCAAAAUGAAUAAGUACAUUAGUAAAAUGAAACAACAGACGCGCCAUCUGUUAUGGAAUAGCUGUACUAAACGUGUUUAGUACUGCUUGUUGGGAGUUAGAAGAGGAUGGUGUUGUUGUUGAAGCCUAUAUAUAAGUCUUUAAGUAUAAUAUAAAGCAGAGGAAUUCCCGCAAACCCCAGAAUCAUUACUUCGGAAAGUAUGAACGUAAGUGGGAAGAUAGUUCCACAAAGAUAGUAACACAUCGAUAGGCCGAAACAGUUCCCAGACAGACUCGCUUUGUGGGCCGAAAGGCAAUGUCAGCGAGCGUGCGCGCCUCGCCUUAAUGCCACACACCUACGAGAAGUCCCAGGCACAAAGCACAAAGUGCGCCUCGUUAGGGCAAUCCCUUUUCGAGUAGUCAUCUGUCUUCUCCAAAGCCUCUCGCAAACACACAAAGCCUUCACCAGCCAACAGAUCCGAAGAGCUAUGCUCCGGUUUUUGCUGCUGCUGCUGUCGCCUGUCGGCAUAGCUCCAGAUUUAAGAAAAGGGUUCACAACGUGUAACGGGAGAACCCCCAAGGGGAGAAGACACGACCAACGGAUGUUUUUUGUGUUUCACCAACUCUUCUCGGGGCACCCACUUGGACCGUGGGCCGGGUAAAAUGUUGAAGCCCGGAGACCACCGUAAAAUGGUAAUCGAACGCCAAACGAAAGGACCUGGAUGCCUGGGUAGGAAGGCAGCAAAAGUCAAUUUUCAAGGGAAAUAAUAACAGUCGGCAAAAGUAGAGAGAAAAACUCGGUGCGCCCUUUUGCCGAGCGUUACAGGACCACACAGCGAACACGAGCACCACAACAGCGACUUGUCCCCUGGAGGCAAUUCCUAUCCAACACAAGCGUGCAUAAAGCAUCUUCACCGAUUCAGCUCGCUUUUGGUUGUAAAACAAUAAUUCCCAAUUACAUGAACGAUCGCUAACAUGUGUUAGUAAGACGUUUUAUGGCUAACAAUGAACAUAAGUCAACAUAUUUCCAUAAUGUCUGUAACAAAUGAGAAGCUAUGUCCAAAUAGGAAUUAUUCGCGUAGUUUAAUGCAAGUAUAGCAUAUUUUGUUCAAUACUAAACUUAAUGUUCAACACCUUCAGCUAAAUCGUAAAGCUUUCUCUUCGACCAUUCGACCAGCCCUUUUGACCUUUUAUGCAAUCGGUUUCGUGGCCGGGGAGGCACCAAAAAGGAAAUCGUGUACAACCGCGAAACGCCCAACCCUUCCACACGCACACACACACGCUCAAGGAGAGCAAGAGCCAUACUCCCGUCCAAAAACCCAUUAGACAUUCCAACGGCCGGAGAACACAAGGAAGAAAGAAGCCAGCAAAAAGGCAACAAGCACAGAGCAGCAAGAAGCGGAGAAAUAAAAAACCCUCCCGCCAACAUUGAAGAAAGGGCUCCGUGAUCUCGUGCAGGCACGCGUGGGGAGAGCUGGGAAGGAGCGAGCGGCUGGCUUAUGCUUCUCUUAUGCUGGGCCCCGGGAUGCUGGGGCCGCUCGAAAUCGAGACCGUGAGAACGCUCGAAUUCGUCUCGUUUGCAAAAGAAGUUCGCCUCCCGCUCCAGUUCCUUGUCCAAUCCUCCUUCCCCUUCUGCCUUGCGCUGCAGUGUGGCGUUUCGUUUCGGCCAAUGUUUUUGCCCCGUUUAACACAUAAACCAAAGGCAGAGACUUGGGUGCAUUUGGUGGGCUUCGCGGGAGCUCGAUUUUAGCUGAAAGGGCUUACAGGGCAGAAACAGAUCUCGAUUGGAUAAUCAGAAUGCUGCUGCCUGGGAGCUGGUUGGGGCUUGGAGGUUCGCGUGGUGGUAUGAAAAUAAAACACACACACACACACAGGAAGAUCCAUCCUUCGCUCGGGUGAUGGUAGAAAUGCAUAAAGCCCCAUCUUCGUGUCCUUUCUGUACCCCGUCCCGUUGCGCCUACGGGUGUAACGUUUUUGCAUUGGAAUCGGCAAAAACCUACACGUCCUCCUCUCUUUGCCGUCUCCGGUCUCGCGUUGGUUCAGCGGGGGGUGUUUCGCUUGUCGCGGGUAUGACUCAAAUGUUGUUCUCCAUGCGGCGUCAGGCUGGGCGGCUGGGUGAUGUAAAUUAACAUUGAAGUAAGCCGCGAUUGGUUGCCAGGGAGGCUGUUUAUGGGCAAUCAAGCCACGGCCAGCGUAUGUGUGUAGGUUGCCAGACGCAGCGGAGGUGUUGUUUUGGUUACGGAUGAGAUUGUACGCCUUCUGUGAUGCCGUUCACGGGGAGGAUAAUGGAAAGGAACAGUCUUCUCAAUAAUGUACCUAAAAUUUGCUCAAAAAUUAGCAGCCUUAUCAUGAAAUGGAAAUUGUUUUGAGAAAGCCAAGCUAAGACAAUUUGCAGUAAAGUGCAAACCAAAGUUUACUGCACCAAGAGGAGAAAGUCUAAAACUAAACAGUGGAAAUCGAACUUUCUCCAAUGUGACAAAAAGGGAUCACGUUUCCAGCGCUAGUGCUGGGAUGGGGCUCCCUUUUACAAGGCGGAUGUUGCAAUAUCUCGUACAUUUACUUAUGAUUUUACUCCCUGCUUGAAUGUUCAACGACAUGGAGCUUCAACAAAACAAAACCAAACAUAGCUCCCACCAAAAAACACGAUUAGAAAUGUCUUCUCUCUCCAGGUGUGUGCCAACGGUGCUGUGGGGGAUAAAAAACCGCCAGCCUGGCAUUUUUUUACUACGCUUCACACAUUUUUACUAUACUCGCAAAACCGGUUUUUUGUGCGAGGUUCGCUAGCUUUAAUACCGUGCUGUAUAUACCUUGCUUCAAACGACCUUAAACGGUACGUCAUCGCAGCAGUUAAAAAAAACCUACCACACACACUCGCAGACACACAGAAACACACACACUUCACGCAAAACUGGUAUGCGAAGCGAUCGAGUGUCUGUGUGGUCAUGCGAGUUGCUCAUGUAUAAUUCCAGGAAGUAGCCAACGCUGCUGAUCAUCCUUGGUUGUACUGUUCUGCAAAUGCUCAACAUAAAGCAGGCACGCAGCAAACUAUGGACGAGCAGGGUUUACCAAUUGAUCCAAUUUCUGAUUUUCAGACCAAAUCAUGCAAAAA